UACGUAGGUGGCAAGCGUUAUCCGGAUUUAUUGGGCGUAAAGGGAACGCAGGCGGUCUUUUAAGUCUGAUGUGAAAGCCUUCGGCUUAACCGGAGUAGUGCAUUGGAAACUGGGAGACUUGAGUGCAGAAGAGGAGAGUGGAACUCCAUGUGUAGCGGUGAAAUGCGUAGAUAUCGGGAAGAACACCAAUGGCGAAGGCAGGUCUCUGGGCCGUUACUGACGCUGAGGAGCGAAAGCGUGGGGAGCGAACAGG
rnacentral:rRNA from 1 species